ACAAUCGUCUCUCUCCUCUAAUUUUCCCUUUACCAAAUCGCGAACCCUGAUUCUGCAGAAAGUUCCCAAUUUUCAGAUUCCAACAAGAAGACUAAGAACUCUAAGACAUCCUCGGAGCUGGGUUUUCCUUCUCUGAAUAUCAGCCUCGCUCUCAUCUCCAUCCCUCCUCUCCUUUCGAUGUUGCAUCCCAUUUAAAUUGAAUCUCAGAUUGCUACGGUCCCUUAAGCUAUCUCUUAUUUCUUGCUACUCUAGUUUCAUCUCCCCCAAUUCGGCCUUGGGGAUCCCGAUCUCGAGUUUCUCUGAGCCUCUAUACUCGUUGCAGAGACAAGUAUAUUACAAAAUACUGAGACAAGGAUUCCGGCAAGAUUCCAUUUGCAUUACAACAUGGUACAUGGAUUGCUUAUUCUUCUCCUUUCCAACAAAGCCAUGUCUCUGCUCUCAGAUCUCGUCAACCUCAACCUCUCAGACACAACCAAGAAAAUCAUUGUUUAAUACAUAUGGUUCAGCGGAUAUGGCAUGGACAUUAGAAGCAAAGCCAGAGUAAACUGAUAGUUUGUUUCAUCCAUACCCGAGAGAAUUUGGGAGGUUUCUGCUCCUUCGAAGGCGUGAUUAGAUUCCAUUGGGCUGCCGUGUGGUGGUCAUAUUGGCUCUAGUAUCGCGUGUUCUUUGCAUCCAUGCUGCCGUAAACGCAACCUUGUCCACAUAUCUUUGUCCACACUACCUUAAAGUGAGACAUCUAUAGUGACCAAGCUGUUUUCUCUGUCGUUGUCUUGUCCAUGGAUAACUUCAAGAGAUGUAGUAAUCAAAGGAUGGAGACGAGACUGUGUGACUAAAUGAAACAGAGUCUCCCCUGUCACCGCCGUGGUUGUGGAGCCUCUCAAUGCUGCGAUUCAGAUUCAUCAAUCAUUUGUUGCUUUGAAGAAGAGAGUAGAAAGCAUCAGGAAGACAAUCUUGCUCCCUUGACUGUGAAGAAAAGAAGGAGAAAACUAUUACUUAUAGUUCCAUCAGAAGAUCCUGAUCAGAGGCUUGCACAAAUGGGCACACUUGCAUCUGCUUUAAUAGCAUUGGGUACUAUCAAAUACAGUGACGACUUAAUUUAUGUACAUGUCCAUUACAAAAGCUUGUCCACAACUUUAGGUUUUCAGUCCAUGUAUUCUCUAUUUUCUAUGUCCAUGUCCACACAAUUAUUUUUACAAAAUCUUGUCCACAACUUUCAGUUUUAUAUCCAUGUAUUCUCCGUAUUCUAUGUCCAUGUCCACAAUUUUUGUUUUUUAUGUCGAAAUGUAUUAGCUAGUUUUUUUUAUUAUAAGCCGUUAGAUUGACAUUCUUU